UACGGGGGGAGCAAGCGUUGUUCGGAUUUACUGGGCGUAAAGGGCGCGUAGGCGGCGUGACAAGUCACUUGUGAAAUCUCCGGGCUUAACUCGGAACGGUCAAGUGAUACUGUCGUGCUAGAGUACAGAAGGGCAACUGGAAUUCUCGGUGUAGCGGUGAAAUGCGUAGAUAUCGAGAGGAACACCUGCGGCGAAGGCGGUUGCUGGGCUGAUACUGACGCUGAGGCGCGAAAGCUAGGGGAGCGAAACGGG
rnacentral:rRNA from 1 species